rnacentral:lncRNA from 1 species
UUUUACUUCUCAACAUUCAUUCCUAUCUUUCCUUUCAUUUGCCUAACCUAGCCGUCGUUAUGCCUUACCCUACCCUCAUUAUUCACAAUCCUUUUCAUUCAAAAUUCUUUAUCUACCAUUACUACAUUCUUUUCAUUUCUACAUAACAGCUUUAUCCACCAACUUGAACACACGAUUGAUAGAUCAUAUACUUUUUGUUCUCUUAUUUUUAAGUGGAUUUUUUACCAAUGUUUUUUUUUUUGGGAAAACCAAAAACUAUAGAAAACUAGGUUAUGACUUUGGGAUGAAGAAGGAGUGCAUGGUAGUCAGAUCUAAGAAGAUCUUGAUCAUCCCUAUGUGAUUUUAAGGUAAAUUCAAAUUUUGAAUUUGUAUAUCUUGCCUUUGAUGGGAGAUUUACAACAACUAUUCUUACCAAAUUCCAAAAGUGAAGAGAUAAUAAAUCUUUUUUGCAUAAACAAGAAUUUGGCUUUCUAAAAAUCAUCUUAUUGACACUUUUUCUUGUCUUGUAGGAAUUCUUUCAUUUUUUCCCUCAUGUAGAUUUUUCUAUCUCUUUUCAGUUGCAUGUUUUUUUAUUGGAUCUAUGUUGUCUAAUGUAAGAUCCCUGUAUUUGACCAGGAAAAUUCAAUUUGUCAAACUUUGUGAUAUAAAUAAAAUAUGGUUUCUAUAUUUUAGUUAAUAUUUUUUCUAUUGACUUGUUGACUUUUGUAUCACAUCAAUUUGUGAACUAGUUCAUAGUAGAUGUUCUUCUCUGCCCUUAAUUGAUAAUUUUGAUUGGAUAAUGUAGUGAAAUAUAAUUUACAUCUUUCAGUUUGAUUGUGACGAUUCUUAUUGUGAAUUUGCUCACAAAAAAUAAAAUUUGGAAUAUUUUAUUUUCUGAAUUAGUGAUUUUGUUAUUAAAUUGGUAGCUUCUUGAUAAAUCAAUCUUUGAUCCAAUUUUACAUCUGUAGAUUAUUUUCUAAUUUCAUACACUAACUUUACUUUCUAAUACUUUUUAAUUUAUUUCAUUUACCAUUGUUAUCGCUAAACACACAAAAUUUUAAUUUGAUUGAUUUAUGGGCACUUUAUUCCACUUUCCCCACCAUGAUUUCAACUAAACUACAAUGCACAAUAAAUUUGCAGGUUUUACGUAAAAGAUAUCAUCAAUGAUAAUGAUGUAAUUGAAGCAUGGAAUGAUAAUGAUAUAAUUGAGGAGCAUGGUCAAGCAUUGUCAAGGUAAGAUAUUUUUUUCAUCAUUUCCAUGAUUUAUCCUCCAUUUCAAUAAGAACAAUGUUUUUUAAAACUUUUUACAACUUUUAUUCAUUUGUAUAAAUUAUAAUCACUCUUUUUUUUAAGAUAAAAUAACACUUGCCUUCAAAAGUAAUAUGUUAUAAUGUCUUUCGAGUUAUUUUAGAAUAAAUACAAAGAAGUUGUCUAAUAUUAAAAAAAAUAUUAUUAGGUUAUAUAAUUUAUGAAAUGCAUAAUGAAAACUCAAAGGUUGUUUUCCUUAAUCAUUUGCAUCAAUCAUGAAAUUAAAUAUUAUAUUCUAGAAUAAGUUAUAUUUCCUAAAUCAUAACAAGUAUUUUUCAUGUUUUAAGCAUGUAAAAAUACACAGUAGUCUUUUUGGAUAACUAUUUCACCGCAAGAGAUUAUGGUAAAAACCAUGGCCUCCAAUGCUUUAAUCCUAUAAAUUUCAUAAACAUUGAAAGUAAUAAAAUCUAUUGUGGUUGAAUUCAGAGUACUAGUGUUCCAUUUUCUUUUAUUCAAAAAUAUUUUUUUUAUGUAUGAAAAUUAAACCCUAAACCUAUUAUAGUUCAACAACGUUCUCAAAUUGGCAUGUAUUUACUUAAAAUCAUCACUUUUUCUUUCAUGAGUUAAAUGACAAACCAAUAUACUAUAUAAUUAAUCGAAAACAAAUGAUAGUUUCUAUAAAAAGCAUCAUAUCAUGAAUUUAAUAUGAUUCACCUCUAUAAAUUUGAAUUAUGAAAACUUUUCAAUCAUCACAUUUUUUGUUGUGCAUGCUAAUUCAUUGAUAAAAAAAAUUGAGUGAUUAAUUUAAAAAUAUACAUUAUCUACAAAAAAAUUACAUAAAUUACAUAUUUAAAUACCAUAUAUAUAUAUAUACAUAUAACUACUAUAGUAUAUUAAUACCUAAAUCUCAUAUGAAAACUAAAAAAGUAUCAUUUGCAUAUCUUCAUAUGAAUAUAAAAUAAAUGAAUUAAAUAUGUAGCAUGAUUUUUCAUGUAAAAGUUUGUAUAACCAUUGAAAAUGAACACAAAAAAUAUAAUGAUUGAGAAAUCUCCACAAGACAUAUUUCCAGAGCGCAUAUUAGAUCCAAAAACAUAGUGUUCUUGAUUUCUUAAACAAAUUACAAUCUUCAAUCAUAUCAUGUAAAGAUCCUAAACCCAAAAUCCAAAAUAAUUUUAUUUUGUUUAACUCAUUAAGAACAUCCUAUCAUGGAUUUAAUGAUUCGCCUCUGGAAAUGUGAAUUAUGGAGACUUUUCACUCAUCACAUUUUUUGUUGUGCAUACUAGUUCACAUGGAUUGGGAAAAAAAUUGAACGAUUAAAUUAUAAAUGUACAUUUCCUAAAAAUCUUGUAGGAAAAUUACAUAUUUAAAUGCCUAUUAUAUACAUAUAUAUAUAUAACCACUGUAGUAUAUUGAUACCUAAAUCUCAUAUAGAUACUAAAAAAUAUCAUUUGCAUUUCUUCAUAUGAAUAUAAAAGAUAUGAAUAAAAUAUCUAGUAUAGUUUUCCAUGUAAAAGUUGGUAUAAUUAUUGAAAAUGAACACAAAAAGUAUAAUGGAUGGAAAAUCUCCAUAACACAUAUUUCCAAAGUGCAUAUUAGAUCCACAACAUAAUGCUCUUGAUUUCUUAAACAAAUUACAAUCUCAAAUCAUAUCAUUUAAAGAUCCUAAACGAGAAACUUUAACCUAUCAAGAACAUCCUAUCAUGGAUUUAAUAUCAUUCGCGUAUGGAAAUGUGAAUUAUGGAAACUUUUGAGUCAUCCCAUUUUUUGUUGUGAAUACUAGUUCACAUGCAUUGGUAAAAAAAUUUGAGUGAUUAAUUUAAAAAUAUACAUUAUCUAAUUUAUUUUUUACAAAAAUUACAUGUUUAAAUACCUGCUUUUAUAAAUAUCUCUAUAUAUAUAACUACUAUAGUAUAUUAAUACCUAAAUCUCAUAAAAACUAAAGAAAGUAUCAUUUACAUAUCUUCAUAUGAAUAUAAAAUAAAUGAAUAAAAUAUGUAGCAUGAUUUUUCAUGUAAAAGUUUGUAUAACCAUUGAAAAUGAACACAAAAAAUAUAAUGAUUGAGAAAUCUCCACAAGACAUAUUUCCAGAGCGUAUAUUAGAUCCACAAGAUAGUGUUCUUGAUUUCUUAAACAAAUUACAAUCUUCAAUCAUAUCAUGUAAAGAUCCUAAACCCGGAAUCCAAAAUAAUUAUAGUUUGUUUAACUCAUUAAGAACAUCCUAUCCUGGAUUUAAUAUGAUUCGCCUCUGGAAAUGUGAAUUAUGGAGACUUUUCACUCAUCAUAUCUUUUGUUGUGCAUACUAGUUCACAUGGAUUGGGAAAAAAAUUGAACGAUUAAAUUUUAAAUGUACAUUUCCUACAAAUCUUUGUAGGAAAAUUACAUAUUUAAAUACCUAUAUAUAUAUAUAUAUAAUAUAUAUAUACAUAUAUAUAUAUAUAACCAAUGUAGUAUAUUAAUAGCUAAAUCUCAUAUAUAGAUUCUAAAAAAUAUCAUUUGCAUAUCUUCAUAUGAAUAUAAAAGAAAUGAAUGAAAUAUCUAGUAUAAUUUUCCAUGUAAAGUUUGUAUAAUCAUUGAAAAUGAAUACAAAAAGUAUAAUGGAUGAAAAAUCUCCAUAACACAUAUUUUCAAAGUGCAUAUUAGAUUCACAACAUAAUGCUCUUGAUUUCUUAAACAAAUUACAAUCUUAAAUCAUAUCAUUUAAAGAUCCUAAACAAGAAACUUUAACCUAUCAAGAACAUCCUAUCAUGGAUUUAAUCGCCUAAGGAAAUGUGAGUUAUGGAAACUUUUCAGUCAUCACAUUUUUUGUUGUGCAUACUAGUUCACAUGCAUUGGUAAAAGAAUUUGAGUGAUUAAUUUAAAAUUAUACAUUAUCUAAUUUUUUUUACAAAAAUUACAUGUUUAAAUACCUACUUAUUUAUAUAUAUAUAACUACUAUAGUAUAUUAAUACCUAAAUCUCAUAAAAACUAAAAAAAAUAUCAUUUGCAUAUCUUCAUAUGAAUAUAAAAUAAAUGAAUUAAAUAUGUAGCAUGAUUUUUCAUGUAAAAUUUGUAUAACCAUUGAAAAUGAACACAAAAAUUAUAAUGAUUGAGAAAUCUCCACAAGACAUAUUUCCAGAGCACAUAUUAGAUUCACAAGAUAAUGUUCUUGAUUUCUGAAACAAAUGACAAUCUUCAAUCAUAUCAUGUAAAUAUCCUAAACCCGAAAUCCAAAAUAAUUAUAUUUUGUUUAACUCAUUAAGAACAUCCUAUCAUGGAUUUAAUAUGAUUCGCUUCUGGAAAUGUGAAUUAUGGAGACUUUUCACUCAUCACAUUUUUUGUUGUGCAUACUAGUUCACAUGGAUUGAAAAAAAACUUGAACGAUUAAAUUAUAAAUGUACAUUUCCUACAAAUCUUUGUAGGAAAAUUACAUAUUUAAAUACCUAUAUAUAUAUAACCACUAUAGGAUAUUAAUAGCUAAAUCUCAUAUAUAGAUUCUAAAAAAUAUCAUUUGCAUAUCUUCAUAUGAAUAUAAAAGAAAUGAAUUAAAUAUCUAGUAUAAUUUUCCAUGUAAAAGUGUGUAUAAUCAUUGAAAAUGAAUACAAAAUGUAAAAUGGAUGGAAAAUCUCCAUGACACAUAUUUCUAAAGUGCAUAUUAGAUACACAACAUAAUGCUCUUGAUUUCUUACAAAAAUUACAAUCUUAAAUCAUAUCAUUUAAAGAUCCUAAACAAGAAACUUUAACCUAUCAAGAACAUCCUAUCAUGGAUUUAAUAUGAUUCGCCUAUGAAAAUGUGAGUUAUGGAAACUUUUCCGUCAUCACAUUUUUUGUUGUGCAUACUACUUCACAUGCAUUGGUAAAAGAAUUUGAGUGAUUAUAAUUUAAAAAUAUACAUUAUCUAAUUUUUUUUUGCAAAAAUUACAUGUUUAAAUACCUGCUAAUAUAUAUAUAUAUAACUACUAUAGUAUAUUAAUACCUAAAUCUCAUAAAAACUUAAAAAAAAAUAUCAUUUGCAUAUCUUCAUAUGAAUAUAAAAUAAAUGAAUUAAAUAUGUAGCAUGAUUUUUCAUGUAAAAGUUUGAAUAACCAUUGAAAAUGAACACAAAAAGUAUAAUGAUUGAGAAAUCUCCACAAGACAUAUUUCCAGAGCGCAUAUUAGAUUCACAAGAUAGUGUUCUUGAUUUCUUAAACAAAUUACAAUCUUCAAUCAUAUCAUAUAAAUAUCCUAAACCCGAAAUCCAAAAUAAUUAUAUUUUGUUUAACUCAUUAAGAACAUCCUAUCAUGAAUUUAAUGAUUCGCCUCUGGAAAUGUGAAUUAUGGAGACUUUUCACUCAUCACAUUUUUUGUUGUGCAUACUAGUCCACAUGGAUUGGGAAAAAAAUUGAACGAUUAAAUUAUAAAUGUACAUUUCUACAAAUCUUUGUAGGAAAAUUACAUAUUCAAAUAUCUAUAUAUAACCACUGUAGUAUAUUAAUAGCUAAAUCUCAUAUAUAGAUUCUAAAAAAUAUCAUUUGCAUAUCUUCGUAUGAAUAUAAAAAAAAUGAAUUAAAUAUCUAGUAUAAUUUUCCAUGUAAAAGUUUGUAUAAUCAUUGAAAAUAAACACAAAAAGUAUAAUGGAUGGAAAAUCUCCAUAACACAUAUUUCCAAAGUUCAUAUUAGAUCCAUAACAUAAUGCUCUUGAUUUCUUAUUCAAAUUACAAUCUUAAAUCAUAUCAUUUAAAGAUCCAAAACCAGAAACUUUAACCUAUUAAGAACAUCCUAUCAUGGAUUUAAUAUGAUUUGCCUAUGGAAAUGUGAAUUAUGGAAACUUUUCAGUCAUCACAUUUUUUAUUGUGCAUACUAGUUCACAUGCAUUGGUAAAAAAAUUUGAGUGAUUAAUUUAAAAAUAUACAUUAUCUAUUUUUUUUUUACAAAAAUUAUAUGCUUAAAUAUCUGCUAUUAUUAAGAUAUAUAUAUAUAUAUAUAACUACUAUAGUAUAUUAAAACCUAAAUCUCAUAAAAACUAAAAAAAAGUAUCAUUUGCAUACCUUCAUAUGAAUAUAAAAUAAAUGAAAUUAAAUAUGUAGCAUGAUUUUUCAUGUAAAAGUUUGUAUAACCAUUGAAAAUGAACACAAAAAAUAUAAUGAUUGAGAAAUCUCCACAAGACAUAUUUCCAGAGCGUAUAUUAGAUCCACAAGAUAGUGUUUUUGAUUUCUUAAAAAAUUUACAAUCUUCAAACAUAUCAUGUAAAGAUCUUAAACCCGAAAUCCAAAAUCAUUAUAUUUUGUUUAACUCAUUAAGAACAUCCUAUCAUGGAUUUAAUGAUUCGCCUCUGGAAAUGUGAAUUAUGGAGACUUUUCACUCAUUGCAUUUUUUGUUGUGCAUACUAGUUCACAUGGAUUGGGAAAAAAAUUGAACGAUUAAAUUAUAAAUGUACAUUUCUUACAAAUCUUUGUAGGAAAAUUACAUAUUUAAAUACCUAUAUAUAUAUAAAUAUAUAUAUAUAUAACCACUGUAGUAUAUUAAUAGCUAAAUCUCAUAUAUAGAUACUAAAAAAUAUCAUUUGCAUUUCUUCAUAUGAAUAUAAAUGAAAUGAAUUAAAUAUCUAGUAUAAUUUUCCAUGUAAAAUUUUGUAUAAUCAUUGAAACUGAACACAAAAAAUAUAAUGGAUGGAAAAUCUCCAUAACACAUAUUUCCAGAGCGCAUAUUAGAUCCACAAAAUAGUGUUCUUGAUUUCUUAAACAAAUUACAACCUUAAAUCAUAUCAUGUAAAUAUCCUAAACCAAAAACCUAAUAUAAUUAUAAUUUGUUUAAUCCAUCAAGAACAUCCUAUCGUGGAUUUAAUAUGAUUCGUCUCUGGAAAUAUGAAUUAUGGAGACUUUUCAGUCAUCACAUUUUUUGUUGUGCAUAGUAGUUCGCAUGGAUUAGUAAAAGUUUGUAUAAUCAUUGAAAAUGAACACUAAAUAUAUUGGAUGGAAAAUCUCCAUAACACAUAUUUCUAGAGCGCAUAUUAGAUCCACAAAAUACUGUUCUUGAUUUCUUAAACAAAUUACAAUCUUAAAUCAUAUCAUGGAAACACCCUAAACCAGAAACCUAAUAUAUUUAUAAUUUGUUUAACCCAUCAAGAACAUCCUAUAAUGGAUUUAAUAAGAUUAGCCUCUAAAAAUGUGAAUUAGGAAAACUUUUGAGUCAUCACAUUUUUUUGUUGUGCAUACUAGUUCACAUGGAUUGGUAAAAAAUCAGUAAUAAAAUUAGAAAUAAAGAUUAUCUACAAAAGAAUUUAGGAAAAUUACAUAUAUAUUAAAAUUGUAUUCAUAUCUUUAUUUAUAUAUAUAUAUAUUUAUUUAUUGAAACUAGAAAGUAUCUUUUGCAUAUCUUCGUAUGAAUAUAAAAUGUAGUAUGAUUUUCAAAGUAAAAGUUAGUAUAUGGGUGGAAAAUCUCCACAACACAUAUUUCCAGAAUGCAUAGUAGAUCCACAACAUAGUGCUCUUGAUUUCUUAAACAAAUUACCAUCUUCAAUCAUAUCAUGUAAAGAAAAAUAAAAGUAUAUAGUGUUAAUUUAUUAUCGAACAAAUUUGUUGUGGCAUGUGUUUACUAAAACCAUCAGGUUUCUCCAUGAGUUCAAUGAUAAACUAAUGCACUAUAUAUAAGGAAUUGAGAACAAAUGGUAGCUUGGUUAACCCAUCAAGAGCAUCCUAUCAUGGAUUUAAUAUGAUUUGCUUCUGGAAAUGUGAAUUGUGGAAACUUUCCAGUCAUCACAUUUUUUGUUGUGCAUACUAGUUCACAUGGAUUGGUAAAAAACUUGAGUGAUUAAAUUAGAAAUAUACAUUAUCUACAAAACAUUUAGGAAACUUACAUAUUUAAAUAUAUGUUUAUAUAUAUAUAUAUAAUGCAUAACUAUUAUAGUUUAUUAAUACCUAAAUCUCGAAACUACAAAAGUAUUAUUUGCAUAUCUUCAUAUGAAUAUAAAAUAAAUGAAUUAAAUAUGUAGUUGAUAUUAGAUCCACAACAUAAUGCUCUUGAUUUCUUAAACAAAUUACCAUCUUCAAUCAUAUCAUAACAAGAAAAAAAAUAACAAGAAAAAUAAAAUCAUACAAUGUUAAUUUAUCAUUGAACAAACAUUAAUGUCAAUUAUGGUUAAGGUGAAAAGAAGAAAGUCAAUUUAAGAACUAAAAUAAAAUAAGGCAGGUCAGAUAAUUAUAAUUAGAAAACAAUACUGCUUUAAUAAAUUCAUAACCUAAAAUUACUUCAAAGUCAAAUUAAAAUGAUACUAAAUAAGAAAAGCUCGUCAAGGUUUUACACACUAUUAUUCCAUUCUUGUUUUGGUAAAAUGAAUAUCCAUAUAAUUAUUUGUUUUUCUACUCUAUUUUAAAUUUGUUGUUAACUACUUUACAUUAUAAUUGUAUCUUAUGAUUAUUGUCAAUAUUUUAUUUACUUGAAUUUUCAACGUAUUAUAGUUCAACAAGAUUCUCAAAAUUGUUGUGUCAUGUGUUUACUUAAAACACCAGUUGUCUCCAUGAGUUCAAUGAUAAACCAAUAUAGUAUAUAUAAUGAAUUGAGAAUAAAUGAUAUUUUUUAACCCAUCAAGAGCAUUCUAUAAUGAAUUUAAUUUGAUUCGCUUCUGGAAAUGUGAAUUGUGGAAAGUUUUCAGUCAUCACAUUUUUGUUGUUGUGCAAACUAGUUCAUGUGGAUUGGUAAAAAAAAUUAGUGAUUAAGUUAAAAAUAUACUUAUCUACAAAAAGUUUUUUUAGAAAAUUACAUGUUUAAAUAUCUACUAUAUGCUUUUAUAUAUAUAUAUACAUAUAUAUAUAUAUAUAUAUAUUACACACAGACACAUAAGUACUAUAGUUUUUUUUUAUCAGCAAAUAGCAAUGAAAUUAAAAGGGAUCACUUCAGGGGUGACCCAACCCUUAUACAGUAAAAUGAUGUUCACAAAUUACCUUUCUAACUACAAAUCAGCCAACAAAACCUCCUACAGUCAAACCCAUCUCUAUCAAAAUAACAAAGAAUAACAAUGAUCAAUCCUCAUAUCAAAACUAAAUUGAAUGCAUACAAACCAAAGGUUCAAGACACCAAUCAGAGAAUGAGAAAUUAGCUGACGGUACCUUUGAAGAGAUCCAGGACCAAGCCUUAAUUUGUGCCAAAGAGAACACCUCAAUGUGGUCAACCACUCCACCUUUAAAUAAACAGUUGUUCCUAUGCCUCCAAAUUUCACUAAUCAACGCUAUCCACACAUUACCCAUAAUAAGAUUAACUGAAGUGGGUGCAUCCAGAAUCUUGAAAUGUUCAAAAUGAGACCUAGGAUCCAUAAAAUCGACAGAUCUUACUCCUAACCAAUCAUAACAAAGAUUCCAAAUUAACCAAGCAACUCUGCAUUCGCAAAACAAAUGAUUUGUUGACUCCUCGUACCUCCUACAGAAGCAACACAAAUUACUCUCAAUCCUGAUUCCUCUUCUGUCCAGAUUAAUCUUACAAGCAACCUUGUUUUCCAUCACUCUNNNNNNNNNNNNNNNNNNNNNNNNNNNNNNNNNNNNNNNNNNNNNNNNNNNNNNNNNNNNNNNNNNNNNNNNNNNNNNNNNNNNNNNNNNNNNNNNNNNNNNNNNNNNNNNNNNNNNNNNNNNNNNNNNNNNNNNNNNNNNNNNNNNNNNNNNNNNNNNNNNNNNNNNNNNNNNNNNNNNNNNNNNNNNNNNNNNNNNNNNNNNNNNNNNNNNNNNNNNNNNNNNNNNNNNNNNNNNNNNNNNNNNNNNNNNNNNNNNNNNNNNNNNNNNNNNNNNNNNNNNNNNNNNNNNNNNNNNNNNNNNNNNNNNNNNNNNNNNNNNNNNNNNNNNNNNNNNNNNACUUCUCAAGUCUUCUGAGUCUAUCCAGUUGUCUGACCAAAACAAUACCUCUCUCCCGUUACCGACCUCCAAAGACAAACGAUCUUCAAACUUCCCUCCCCAUUCCUCAGACCUCCAAACCUUCCUUAAAUCUCUCCACCACAGAGAAACCUUACUAUUAAUAUCUCGUUGCUCCUUCAAACCUCUCCAACCUCCGUACUUAGAAUCUAAUCGCAUCCCUCCACUAACCCCCCCACCCCCCCCCCCGUUUCCGUUUUUAAGCGCCAAAUCCAUUUUCCCAAUAAAGCCAAAUUAAAUUGCCUGAUAUUGAUAAUAUCGAGCCCUCCUGCAUCCUUGGAUUUACAAAUCUUAUCACAUGUCAUCCAUGCAACCUUCCUUCCAUUUGACCCCCAACCCCACAAAAAAUCCCUCUGCAGACACAUAAUCUUCUUUAACACAUUAGACGGUAUCUUGAACAUAGACAAAUAGAACAAAGGUAUUGAAGACAAGACAGACUUAAUUAAGCAUAUCCUCCCCGCCAUCGAGAUACAUCUUCCUUUCCACCUGCCUAGCCUUUUCUUUACCUUGUUAACCACUUCAUCCCAAAACUUACUCCUCUUAUGACAACCCCCUACAUGCAUCCCCAAAUAUUUGAAAGGAGUUCUCAUCACCUCACAAUUUAAGAUAGUCGCAAAGUGAAUAAUUUCCGUCUGCCCCACCCCAAUCCCACCAAUUCUACUCUUGGAGAAAUUCACCUUCAAACCAGAUGUCAACUCAAAACAAUUCAACAUAACCUUUAUAUUAAAUACACUUUUGCUUUUUGCCUUACAAAAGAACAAAGUGUCAUCAGCAUACUGGAGCAUAUUCACUUUUACUGAUUUAUUCCCAAUCUCCAAGCUCUCAAUCAAGUCUUUCUCAACCGCAGUUCUAGAUACUCCAGCUAACCCUUCAGCCACUAUAAGAAACAAGAAAGGAGCUAACGGAUCACCUUGUCUCAACCCCUUCUUCAGAAAAAAUUCCUUAGUAGGACUCCCGUUUACGAGUAUUGACAUUGACGCUGAUUCCAAACAAGCUUUAAUCCAAGAGAUCCAUUUUUCACAAAAGCCAAGCCUUCCUAGCAUAUAAUAUAUAAAAUCCCACCUCACUGAGUCGUAAGCCUUCUCAUAAUCCACUUUGAAAAACACACAACUUUUCUUCUUCCUCUUCAACUCUUCUAAGGUUUCAUUGGCUACCAAAAUACUAUCCAAUAACCCCCUACCUUCCAGAAAAGCAGAUUGUCUAACGUCAAUAACUUUACUGAUUACUCUUUUCAACCUGAUAGACAAAAUCUUCGAAACCGUUUUAUACACACACCCAACAAACGAAAUCGGUCUAUAGUCAUUAAGUUGUUGGGGAUUAUCAAUCUUAGGAAUCAAACAGAUGAACGAAGCAUUUGACCCCCUAGGCCACUUACCAUUGACCAUAAAAUCGUUUACCGCUGAGACAAAAUCUUCCUUGAGACAUCCCCAACAAAACUUAAUAAAACUGAAAUUAAACCCGUCGGGACCAGGACUCUUCGAACCAUCACAACUCCAAACAGCUUUCUUAAUUUCUUCUUCAGAGGCCACUCCAACUAGAGAUUCAUUAUCUUCUUCUGAUAACGAGGAGAACUGAACAUUGUCCAACCUAACCACUGGCUCAAACACCCCUGCAAAUCUCUCUUCAAAAAACUCUCUAACCUUAGUCAUUACCACUUCCUUAUCCUCGUACCACUGCCCGUUCACUUCAACCCCAUUAAUCCCGUUUCUCAUUCUCCUCCACUUCACCGAAGAGUGAAAAAAUUUUGUAUUUAAAUCACCUUGUUUCAGCCAAUUUUUCCUUGCUUUCUGUUGCACAACCGCUUCUUGUUUAAAUGAAUUCCGACUUUGUUCAGCCAACAAAAUUCUCCUCUCCUCCCGCCCAAACUCAUCUAAACCGCCUUCAUCGUCUCUAGUGUCCAACUCUUGAAUUUUCUUUUGUAACAAAAUACCUUCUUGGUUGACAUUCCCAAACACCUCUCUAUUCCAUUUCUUCAAAUCUAGUUUUAACUUCUUCAGUUUCUCUUUUAGAACAAACAUCCCUCCUCCCAACACUUCAUAACUCUGCCAUCUGCUCCGAACAAAAUCUAAAAAUCUUCCAUCUCUUUGCCACACGUCUAAACUCCUGAAAGGUUUCGGCCCCCAAUCUACUGACCCUGUUUUGAGCACAAUAGUACAAUGAUCAGACGCUGAUCUACUGAGAACUAAUUGUUUACUAUUCGGCUAUACAUCCAACCAUUCCCUGGAAAUGAGAAUCCUGUCAAUUCUACUCUUAAUCGUCCCAUUCGGCUUGUACCAAGUGAACUUUCUUCCGACCAUCGGGAUAUCCAACAAUUCUGCAUUUUCAAUAAAACCAUUGAAACCCCUGAUUUCUCUACUAUAAUCUGAUACUGAAACUGAGCUUUUUCUCUCCUCCUUCUUUCUAAUUGAAUUGAAGUCCCCAACAACGCACCACACCCUGUUUUGUCGACUCUUCCUGAGUUCACUAAUCUCAUCCCAAACCUCUUUCCGUGCUUUCAACGAACCGGAGCUAUAUAUGUUCACUAUUGUAAUUUGUACACCAUCUCCGGCUUUCCAAACUCCUUCGAUAACCGAAUAAUCUUUUCCAUUAAAGCUUCCCGUCAUUUCAAAACUACUUCUUCUCCACAUAGUAAUAAUUCCUCCUGCAUUGUUAACUGCCCCAUUCUCCAACCAAUCAAUUUCAUUUGAGCCCCACAUAUAAUAGCAAUGUUCCUUACUAACCAUUGAACAUUUUGUCUCUUGUAGACAAACCAAUCAAACCUCCUCUUUUCUAAUCAAAUCUCUUAAAUAUGUUCUUUUCGUGCUUCCGCCAAUCGCCCUUAUAUUCAUACUAAUUAGACUCAUCAUCAGAAACUUCAAUCUCCAUUUGACUACAUCUAUAGUCCCGACUCUCCAAACUGCCCAGUCUAUUUAAAACGACCUCUUCUUCUUUUAACAAAGUGAAACCCAUCUCCUUUCCAGAUUUCCACUCCCUCCUGAUCUCGCUCUGCUCAUCUUUUAAACGCAAUAUUUUCCCAUAUUUUCUAGCGUCUCUAACUGAAAUAGUGAUUUCUGACCUUAAAUCCUUUAAUGAAACUGACUUAGAUAACCUUUCAACCAACGGUGAAUUUCCAUCUCUUAGAACCAACAACACGCCUACCCCUCCACCAAAAUUGACCAUCGACCUCCCCACCGGGCAGCUAGCAGAAAUUGUCUCCAUCCCACCCAACUUAUGCUUUGGUGUGGCAACCACCACUGCUCUAUCAUCAUCUUCUACCAACUUUGCACCCCGUACUGACCUUACCGUGCUCAUCUUUUCUGUAGCCUUUGUUGUCUUCUCAUGUGUCCUUUUGCUUUUACAGUCAAUCCUCCUCACCUCUCAUUCUUCCCAAUCAAUCUGACCAGCUCCUCCCAUCUCACAACUGUCGUUCACCUCCGCUUCUCCCCUCCCCUCCGUGUCGCCGUCUUUCCUCGAACGCACGCGGUUGGUCUCCCCCGCGUCGCACCACCGUGUAGCAGUCUCGCGAGAUCCAGCGUCAACAUACGCCGCUGUCGCGUGCGAUUCUGGCACCGUUCUCGCUCCCUCACCAUCGCCCAUCCACGUUUCCGUCACUGCCAAUGCUCCAGCCGUCGUGAGAUGCGUCCCCGCGCCGCCCAGCUUCGACCGAGACAGAGGAGAGACGUCGCUAGCUUUCUCCAGCUUUGCCGUCGACGUCGCCUCCCUUUCAACUCCUCUUGCCAUUCCGCCGCACCCAUGGCUGUCUUCGCAGCUCUCACUGCCGCUGCCUCCAAGCUUAUUCUCCAUUCUUCCCAAACCAAACCCUAGCGGCAAUGCCACGUCAGCAAUUGGGUCAAAGAUUAGAGUUUCGCCUACCCAACUUUCUGCACUCAAUUGGGCCUGAACUGGCCCACUACAGAUUAGGUCAUCUGCCCAACCCCCAACCUUAUUCCCAACUGUAGCCGUUCCGCUUUUAAUACCCACUGAGAAAAUAUUUUGUGCCUCCCUUUUUUCCAAGUUACUAAUCCCCUCUUUCCUUGGUUCCAACAAACCACUAUUCUGACUCUUCCCGACAGAAUCAAUUCCUCCAUUAAUGCCCUUGACGUCUUUUGAACUUUCUUCCUCUUUUUUCGGAAGCUGAAUAGUCGUCUCCUCCCUUCUCCUUUCUCCUUGUCUACCACUGUGGUCUGAGUAAUCCGACUCUGAAAAAACUUCACCGAUGCUAGAGUCAAGUCGUGCUUCCGAUUCAUCCUCUGAAGCCAUCCCCCACUUGUGAAACAAAUUUCCACAUGAAGGAACAGGGAAAUUUUCUUCCUCAAAAUAAACCUGACAUACUCUAUCAUUUAUCCUCACUGAUCUCGCCAGUCUUACCUCCUCGCCCAAAGGGAUUCUAAUACACAACCUCGCAUACUCCAACACCUCCUUAGAAAUUGUUCCUUCAUCAAUCUUUACAAGCUUACCUACAAGGCCCCCAAUGCGUUCAAAACAUUGGUUACUCCAAAGAGCUAAUGGUAAACCCCUGCAUCGGAACCAGGCUAUCUUCUCUGAGACUGCAAAAGAGUCAUCCCAUGGGACAAUUGACUCAAAAAAACCUUCAAACCAUUCUUUGUUCUCUGCAAUCAACCUCUUAAUUUGUCCCUCUUCUUCGCAUGAAAGUAACACAUACAUUCCUCCUAGGAUUCUCACCCUUACUACAUUAAAACCUCCCAAAAUAAAACUCUCCUUGAUACUUUGCACUUCCGCUGCCCUCAACAUUUUCUUAAUGAAGCAACUCUCCAACCAAAACGACGUCUGCUCAUUAACUCUAACGUGUGGCACAAAAACUUCUUCUCCCUUCUGAUCGGUUCCUGCUUUUCCUCCCGUGACUGCUUGUGCAUAAGAACCCUGUUGAUUCUUUUGGUUCCAGACUUUUCGAUAAAAAAUUUGUCUUCGCGGAUUGUGUGUUGACUUCUCUUGCCUUUUGUAUUUCGGUCUAUUUGUCUGCAGCUUCCAAGUACCGAUCCAAAUAGAAUCCAGUUGUUUUUCCAAAACAUACUCAUCCUUAACUUCAUGAAAUUUGACGAAACCAAAACGCUUCUUCCUGGAAUUUAGCUUUCUAGAUAUGAAAACGUCUACAACUGUUCCCCAACGUUGAAAAACUCUCCAAAGAUCCUUUUCUUGAAAAUCAUUUGGAAAAUUAGUGAAGAAAAAAGAAACUUCUGCCAUCUUGUUACUGUUACCCUUAAACAACUUAACAAAACCCCUAAAAGAUUUCUUGCUUAACCUUACGAGACUCCUCGCACCAUUACAUAUUUUUCAGGAAGGUUAGAUUCCUUCCAAGUACUAUAGUAUAUUAAUACCUUAAACUCAUAUAGAAACUACAAAGUAGCAAUUUCAUGUCUUCAUAUGAAUAUAAAACAAAUGAAUUAAAUAUGUAGUAUGAUUUCCAAAGUAAAAGUUAGUAUAAUCAUUGAUAAUGAACACAAAAUAUAAUGGAUGGAAAAUCUCCAUAAUACAUAUUUUGAGAAAGCAUAUUAGAUCCACAACAUAGUGUUCUUGAUUUCUUAAACAAAUUACCAUCUUCAAUCAUAUAAUAAAAAGAAAAAUUUAAACAUAUAGUGUUAAUUUAUUGUUGAACAAACAUGAAUGUCAAUUAUGGUUAAGUUGAUUUAAGUGCAUGUGAUGGUUGUACCUACUUUCAAAUGGUUGAUUUAAGUGCAUGUGAUGUAGCUCUUGGUUAAGAGUGAACCAAUAUAAACAUCUUGUGUGAUUCUCUCUAUCCCUACACUCAUAAAUCGUUUUAAUAUUGUUUUUCAAUUCUUCUGGUAUAAACAACCGAUUGUUUCGUGAAAACAACUUGUUGAUUUUCUAGAAUUAAACUUCAAACAAUUUUUUAUUGGUUGAACAAAAUUUUCAAUUGAUUGAUUCUUCAUACCGUUGUUCUUCUUUUUGUCAAAGUAUUAUCUUGAGUUGUUGAUUCGUCCAAGUGGUAUGACAUCAUUUCUCCAUUCCAUUUGAGUUUUUCAUCUAGUUUCUCUUUUAUUUGUCCUUUAAUUGAGUUGUUUGUCUUACCUUUUCAUAUCCACCAAGUGUGUUCUUAUGUUUUUAUUUUUUUUCUUUUCUUUUUUAUUUUUUAAAGAGUGUUUUACACUUACAUAAUCUUUCCAAAUUAAAUUCGUGUCCAAUGACAAUUUUCAUUGAGUUCCUUUGUAUUCAUCUUAGAACAGUUCAUAACCACCCUAAACUUCAAAAUCCAAAAUGUAUAAUUAAACCUUGUAUAUGCAAUUUCAAAUCAUAUCAUGACCCUUCAGGUGUCUUGGAUGUCCAAGGAAGUAGAGUAGACACAUGAAGUAUUUCUAAUUCAACAUGUCACUUGCAAGAUCACGUGCUAAGUUGUAAUUACUAGCACAUGUUACAUUCAAGUACAUGUGAAAGUUAUAACUACUCCACAUGUCUUUCCCCUUUUCAAGAAUAUUUUGUGUGUCUUUCCACCUUUCAAAAGUCAUUGAUGUGCUAAACCAAGAUAGGAUUAGUAAUACGUUAAGUAUAAUUUUUGCUUAAACAUCACCAUUAGAUCUAAUUUCACCUUAGAUGUAAUCACUAUUUUUAUGUUCACACUUAGGAUUCCCAUUUUUUUGGGUUCACAUUACUUUAAACUCAUUUUCAUUCCUCUUCGAUUGAAUUCUAUGUUUUUUUUUAAUAAAAACUUUCAUGUUAGGCAUCACUAUGCAACUUGACAUCUUAGCUAAGUUGACACCUCUAUGCUUAUAAAUAAAUUCAAUUCUAACACUUAAAUAUUGAAUAAAAUAAUAUUUUAUUAAUACUUUGGGUGUCUUAAUAGUGUAAAACUCUUGUCUUGAUUCUUAUAUCAGAGGACUUCUUCAAAUGGUAAAUCUCCAUUGCACAUCCUUUUGGAAAUCUCUCUAUCGGAGGACUUAAUGGUAAAUCUCCAUUGCACAUCAUUUUGGAAAUCUCUCUAAAGGUGAUGUGCUCUUCUCUAACUAUAGUCUUAAUUCAUUUCUAUUUUCAUUUGUAACUUGUUCUUAUUUUUUACAUGAGUUGACUCCAAAGAUAAUGAUUAAAAAGAUAAAAAAUAUUUUUUUAAAUCAUACUUUAAUGUUGUGUUUGAAUUUGAAAUUCAUACACAUUGUUCUAAGACACAAAAUUAAUUAUUAUAUUUUAUUUGAUAAAUUAGUUAUAUUAUUGUGAAUAUAUUUAUCUCUUCUGAUUAAUAAUUUUUUUGUAGGAACUAAUGGAAGGAAAUAAGAAAAGGCAAAAUGUUAUACAACUGAUUGAACGUAAUUGCAC